rnacentral:rRNA from 1 species
UACGUAGGGGGCAAGCGUUGUCCGGAAUUAUUGGGCGUAAAGAGCGUGUAGGCGGUCCGAUAAGUCGGCUGUGAAAGUCCAGGGCUCAACCCUGGAAGGCGGGUGGAUACUGUCGAGCUCGAGUCCGGAAGAGGCGAGUGGAAUUCCCGGUGUAGCGGUGAAAUGCGCAGAUAUCGGGAGGAACACCAAUGGCGAAGGCAGCUCGCUGGGACGUGACUGACGCUGACGACGCGAAAGCGUGGGGAGCAAACAG